UUCCUCUGCUUCUCAAGACAUAAGAUUGGAAACUGACAUUGCUGCAACUUUCACAUGCUCAUUGAACCUUAAAGGCUAAGAAGACCUUGUUAAAUGUCUCAGAAAGGCACAGAGAAAAAUAAAUAAAUAGAACAAAGAUCAGAAAUGUAGCAAAAAAUCUAUCAUCACUCAGUGUGCUAAGACAGCAAACAAAACAGAAUUCUGAAAGAAAAUGACAGAAACACUGCCUUUAUGCAUGGAAAUCUAAGAGUAACAAGAAUCAGAAAAAUCAGGAAUGCUGUCCUUCCUGAGGAUGAAAUUGAAAGGCAAACUGAUGGGAAAGACAAAACUGCUAGAGAGUUAUGAGAUUGUUCUACUCCUCAUCUCUGUGGUGUGUGCUCGCUAGCCGUCUCAUCUUCAGCAUAAGAGUAAGGCCUUCGAUUUUGGACACUCUCAUUUAGUUGAUUUAUUAAAUUAAAUUCUAAUUAUAUUGUAUUAUAUUGUGUUAUCUUGCAUUCCACUAUCCUAUUUUGGAAAAUUAGUUUUCUCCCUCAGCUCAUUGCUGCUGUUUUUUUCUUAGGCCCAUCUCCCUACCCGUUCCGCUUUUCCCCCUUCCCUUUCUCCCAAGGCCUGGGUUGGAGUGUCCCUCUGUCCCAUUUACUCAUGGAACUGGGCCAAACCAGCCCAAAAAACCAUUGACACCACAUAUUUACUCUUCCAUUGCUUCUAUGAGCCCUAAAGUCAGUGAUUACAAAGGUCAAUUACCAGCUGUAGGUAUCUUUCCACAAGUCAUGUGUCUACAUGUGGGGUCUUUUGCCUGGUCAAAGGUCUGAUGUUCUUGUUGGUGGCUUAUUUUCUCUUGCUAUGAGACUCACUUGUGGCCUUUUUUAAAAUGUUUGCUAGCACUGGUUUACCUCUUUGUCCUCAGCCUGCAGAUCCAUGUUACUUCUAAAUUUACUAUGUCUUUUAUGCAUCUUAUAUAAUAUUUCUUUGCUUCCUUUGUUACUUCUCAAAAACAGUUCUAAUUAGUUCUAGGUAGUUCUAGGAACUGAUUAUAGCUAGUCUCUGUGGGUUUUAUAUCGUGUCACUGUCUUAUCUUGCUAUCCCUGUGUUCCUCCAAAGCACAAUUUGUGUUGCUGUUUCUCAAGGCCUCUGUCCUUGUAAUAGUUCUGUAUUUAUCUCUUCUUACCUAAUUUUGUUAAAGUUGUAAAUAUCAAUUUAUACACAGAAUGUAUUAAAAAAAUGCACUUGUCCCAGGUACCUUCAUAAAAAAUGAUGUUGAUAACCUACAAAGUAAAGGAAGAGUUUAAGAAAUCAUCCAUUUUCACUUGGACAAAAUUAAAAUUGUUGUUUCUGUUAAACCAAAUGAACAAACACCAUGCAGAUCAAGACAAGUUCAGACAGAGCUAAUGCCUUAGUACUAAGGCCUUUCAAACUCUGUACAAAUCCUCUAGCCUAUGACUGCCAGUGACAAAAUGAUAUUACAGGGAUAUGGGAUAAAAGUACAUUCUUGUUGAUACCUCUUGUGUUCAGGACCAAACAAAAUAUCUUUUUAUAAAAGAUAGGAAAUGGCAUGAAGUGAUCUAUUAAUAACAGAUCCACUAACAGAAACAGUCUUAGGUUCCAACUGCUUCUUACUGAAGAUCUGGUUCCUUAAACAUGAAUCCAUUGAUUCUUUAGUAGUAUUAUUGUAUAUAAUAACUGCCUAUAAUUGAACGGUAAAAUAUUUAUAAAUAGUAGGUCAACAGACUUUUUUUUCAAUUUAAGAUUGUAGUUUUUUAGCACUUGUCUAGGCUUAUAAUUACCAUCCUUAUAUAAAAAUAAAUGGUCUUAAAAUAAAACUGCAGGUAACCAGUACAUGAUGUAUUCAGUUUACAGGAUAUCAAAUAUUCCAAAACAAAUGAUUCAGUACUAAUGCUAAUCUCAUCUCACUAAUACGGAAAUUAUAACAUGCCUGG
ensembl:lncRNA